UACGAAGGGGGCUAGCGUUGCUCGGAAUUACUGGGCGUAAAGGGCGCGUAGGCGGAUACUUAAGUCGGGGGUGAAAGCCCGGGGCUCAACCUCGGAAUUGCCUUCGAUACUGGGUAUCUUGAGUUCGGGAGAGGUGAGUGGAAUGCCGAGUGUAGAGGUGAAAUUCGUAGAUAUUCGGCGGAACACCAGUGGCGAAGGCGACUCACUGGCCCGAUACUGACGCUGAUGCGCGAAAGCGUGGGGAGCAAACA
rnacentral:rRNA from 1 species